UACGAAGGGUGCAAGCGUUACUCGGAAUUACUGGGCGUAAAGCGUGCGUAGGCGGUUUGUUAAGUCUGCUGUGAAAGCCCCGGGCUCAACCUGGGAACUGCAGUGGAAACUGGCAAGCUAGAGUGUGUCAGAGGAUGGUGGAAUUCCCGGUGUAGCGGUGAAAUGCGUAGAGAUCGGGAGGAACACCAUUUGCGAAGGCGGCUCUCUGGACCAGCACUGACACUGAGGCACGAAAGCGUGGGGAGCAAACAGG
rnacentral:rRNA from 1 species